rnacentral:snoRNA from 1 species
AAACAACACUCUAGCAGGUGACACAAUUUGAGCUUGCAAGAAAGUCUAACCUAUUCAAGUGGUCUCUGCUUCAUGAGACAAGCUAUUUGUAGUCUCAGACUGC